AACAAACACCCUUGCAAUUUUGUGGUCAGGAAGUAUCGUGUGAUAUUAGGUCUUGCGAUGUACUGAAUUGCUUCAUGGCACUGCACGCAUACACCCUUUCAGGA